rnacentral:lncRNA from 1 species
UCACUCAAGUUUUCCUAGCCCAUGUCUGGAGUUUGACGAUCCAGGUGACUGACAGACAGAGCAAGCGGCAAUAUAUACAACGGUAAAACCUCGCGGCAAAGCAGUAAAAUCACGUGUGCACUUAUGCUUUGUUUGUGCAGCAGUAUACAGUUCUUAAAGACAACAUGCAGCCUCGAGAUUCUACAGUUCUUAAUUAGGGCCCGGCCCCCAUUGCCGGCACUAAUUAAUUAGAUGAGGUCUCAGCUCCUCCAGUGGCCAAACCACUGCUUUGUUUCUUUACGGCAAAAAUAAUCUAGACCUGCCAAGAAACAGUGGCAACGACGUAAACUCAACAGAAGCGUCUGAUCAACAGCUACAUACAUUAUCACCAGUCUUCUGAUUCCUAAAACCAUAUUGGAAGCAUACCUGAAACAGUGAUGAUGUGUGUAUUGGUGUUCACCCAAACGGAGCAGAGGCAGAGCAGGAACCAAAUGCCAGCCUGAGAUGGCACAGCGCCAUCGCCAC